rnacentral:rRNA from 1 species
GACGUAGGUGGCGAACGUUAUCCGGAAUUAUUGGGCGUAAAGAGUGCGUAGGCGGUUUUCUAAGUUUGGUGUGAAAUCUCCCGGCUCAACUGGGAGGGUGCGCCGAAGACUGGAAGGCUUGAGUAUGGGAGAGGUAAGCGGAAUUCCUGGUGUAGCGGUGAAAUGCGUAGAUAUCAGGAGGAACACCUGCGGUGUAGACGGCUUACUGGACCAUAACUGACGCUGAGGCACGAAAGCGUGGGUAGCAAACAGG